rnacentral:rRNA from 1 species
CCAAUAGCGUAUAUUAAAGUUGUUGCAGUUAAAAAGCUCGUAGUUGAAUUUCGGGGUCAGUAGGCUGGUCGUGCCACGGAUAUGUACUGGUCUCACUGAUUCCUCCUUCCUGAUGAACCGUAAUGCCAUUAAUUUGGUGUUGCGGGGAAUCUGGACUGUUACUUUGAAAAAAUUAGAGUGUUUAAAGCAGGCUAACGCUUGAAUACAUUAGCAUGGAAUAAUGAAAUUGGACGAUCGAUCCUAUUUUGUUGGUUUCUAGGAUUGACGUAAUGAUUAAUAUGGAUAGUUGGGGGCAUUAGUAUUCAUUUGUCAGAGGUGAAAUUCUUGGAUUUAUUGAAGACUAACUACUGCGAAAGCAUUUGCCAAGGAUGUUUUCAUUAAUCAAGAACGAAAGUUAGGGGAUCGAAGACGAUCAGAUACCGUCGUAGUCUUAACCAUAAACUAUGCCGACUAGGGAUCGGAUGAUGUUAAUUUUUUAAUGACUCAUUCGGCGCCUUACG